NNGCCCCCUCCGGAAGCCCUCGGAGCGCCAGGCAGCUGUGCAGGGGGACGCUUCAGUCCCCCGCCUUCAUUCAGACGACGGCGACGGAGUGCCAGAUACUGCACUAGCCCCCUGGACACAACUCUGAACGACUGGACAAGUAUCGUUCUUUCACUCCAAAAGAGGAGAAAGACAUUAAACAAUCCAUCAUCCAAACAGAUAAUCAUGUGAGUAGAACAUGGGCUGGGAAAGA
rnacentral:lncRNA from 1 species